rnacentral:lncRNA from 1 species
GGGAUCUUCUGUCUGUUUCCUUUCCCAGUCGCCUUCUGCUGACAUCGUUCAGCAGCAGCAUCUCCUUCAGCUGACAUCGUUCAGCAGCAGUUUCCAGUCCCAGUUGCCUUCCUCGGAUUCCUCUUUAUUAGGAGUCCACGCCACAGCGUAGAGGUCAGCAAACAGUUCUCAGGAGUCACUUCUCUCCUGUCACCUAUGGGAGCUGGGGAGGGAACUCACUGCUGAGCCAAGACAUCAGCUCAGGUAGGUAAUUUUAUAAUACUGAUCUUCAAACUCUUCUGCACGGCUCCAAGAGAGGGAGGGCUGUGAGCUCUGACAGGUCCUUGGUGAGGCUGCCUGUUUCUCUGCACUCCUUUCCGUUGCAGAACCAGUGACCCAGGGCUUCUUUUUACAUGAAGAAUCUUCACAGUGACCUUGAACUUGAGAUGAGCCUUCUGAAACUGCAAGACAAAGCCUUUCUUUCCUGUUCUUCAAUCUCUACUUAUUAAGCACUGUACAAACCACAGACACGGUCUCUGGAGAAAAACAUCUUCUCUUGAGGGUCUUGGUAAUAAGAAAAAAAAAAACCCACAACAAAACAGAACAUCUAUCCCUAACUAAAGAAAGGAUGGAGUUGUAUGGAGACACUCCUACGUAGGGAUCAUUGUAGAAGAGAGGGCAGAAGGACUUCAGCAUCCAGAGGAUCAGCAGUUUGUUAUAAGAUCGUGUCUCCUUGGGAUGUCAGAGGAUACACCCACAAGUCUCACCAAGAAGACUGCCUAAAACAUGAAUGGAGCAAGGAUGACACCAACAGACAAGCCACGCUGGACAGGGAAAAGCCCAAGAGGCCUCGACCUUACACAGAGAACUACAGACCUGAGCAACACCAAGAGUGAGGCAGCUAAUGCCCAGGAAGAGCAAACCAGUUGCUUAUCUAGUACCAAAUGGUCAGCCCAGAAAGCAUAUGAGAAACACUGUGCAGACUGAGCAGCUUAUAUUAAUGUCUUUAGAAAUAUGCUUAUACAUAUUGUAUGGGACAACAAU